rnacentral:rRNA from 1 species
GACGAACCGUGCGAACGUUAUUCGGAAUCACUGGGCUUAAAGGGCGCGUAGGCGGGCUCGUAAGUCAGGGGUGAAAUCCCACGGCCCAACCGUGGAAGUGCCUCUGAUACUGCGGGCCUCGAGGGGGAUAGGGGCGUGCGGAACUCAGGGUGGAGCGGUGAAAUGCGUAGAUAUCCUGAGGAACACCGGUGGCGAAAGCGGCGCGCUGGAUCCCUUCUGACGCUGAGGCGCGAAAGCGUGGGGAGCGAACAGG